rnacentral:rRNA from 1 species
UACGGAGGGGGCGAGCGUUAUUCGGAAUUAUUGGGCGUAAAGGGCGCGUAGGCGGCGCGAUAAGUCAAAGGUGAAAUCCCUCGGCUCAACUGAGGAACUGCCUUUGAGACUGUCGAGCUUGAGGCCGGGAGGGGGUAGCGGAGUUCCUAGUGUAGAGGUGAAAUUCGUAGAUAUUAGGAAGAACACCGGUGGCGAAGGCGGCUCACUGGCUCGGUACUGACGCUGAGGUGCGAAAGCGUGGGGAGCAAACAGG